rnacentral:rRNA from 1 species
CAACAAUAGACUCGGUGAAAUUUAAAUUCCAGUGAAGAUGCUGGGUACCCGCGACAGGACGGAAAGACCCCGUGGAGCUUUACUGUAGCUUGAUAUUGAAUGUUUGUGCUGCAUGUGCAGGAUAGGUAGGAGACUUUGAAGUCGGAACGCUAGUUUCGAUUGAGUCACCCUUGAGAUACUACCYCUGUUGUAUGAACGUUCUAACUCUGAUCAGUUAUCCUGAUCGAAGACAGUGUCUGGCAGGCAGUUUGACUGGGGCGGUCGCCUCCUAAAAGAUAACGGAGGCGCUCAAAGGUUUGCUCAGAAUGGUUGGAAAUCAUUCGUAGCGUGUAAAGGCAUAAGCAAGCUUGACUGUGAGACUGACAAGUCGAGCAGGUACGAAAGUAGGACUUAGUGAUCCGGUGGUUCCGUAUGGAAGGGCCAUCGCUCAACGGACAAAAGCUACCCCGGGGAUAACAGGCUCAUCUCCCCCAAGAGUCCACAUCGACGGGGAGGUUUGGCACCUCGAUGUCGGCUCAUCGCAUCCUGGGGCUGUAGUCGGUCCCAAGGGUUGGGCUGUUCGCCCAUUAAAGCGGUACGCGAGCUGGGUUCAGAACGUCGUGAGACAGUUCGGUCCCUAUCCGUCGUGGGCGCAGGAAAUUUGAGAGGAUCUGUCCUUAGUACGAGAGGACCGGGAUGGACAUACCUCUGGUGUACCAGUUGUUCUGCCAAGAGCACCGCUGGGUAGCUACGUAUGGAUUAGAUAAUCGCUGAAAGCAUCUAAGUGAGAAACUAACCUCGAGAUGAGAUUUCCCAUUCGUCAGAAGUAAGACCCCUGAGAGACGAUCAGGUAGAUAGGCUAGAAGUGGAAGUGUAGUGAUGCAUGGAGCGGACUAGUACUAAUAGGUCGAGGACUUAACCAAG